GAUGAAGAACGUAGCGAAAUGCGAUACUUGGUGUGAAUUGCAGAAUCCCGUGAACCAUCGAGUCUUUGAACGCAAGUUGCGCCCGAAGCCAUUAGGCCGAGGGCACGCCUGCCUGGGUGUCGCACAUCGUUGCCCCAAUGCCUCAGCCCUGUUGCAAGGCAUGGCAAAGGGGCGAAUGUUGGCUUCCCGCGAGCGAUGCCCUCACGGUUGGCUGAAAAUCGAGUCCGUGGUGGAGUGUGCCGUGAUAGAUGGUGGUUGAGUGACGAACGAGACCCAAUCAUGUGAGACCCCUACCGAAUUUGGCCUUCAUGACCCACAUGCGUCUUUGGAACGCUCAUGACGAGACCUCAGGUCAGGCGGGGCUACCCGCUGAGUUUAAGCAUAUCAAUAAGCGGAGGA
rnacentral:misc_RNA from 1 species